ACAACGAGCUGCUCCACGGCCACCGGCAAACAUGGAAAAGGUUUAAAAAGGUUGAACAGUUACCUAGACUCAAUAAUUGCUCAUACACUUUCUCCACUGAAACUAGAAAGCUGGUUACCUGGCAUGGGCAACAAUGCAACAGUGUUCCUAUUCUGGAGAAAUAAGAUGGGGCAUCGGCUCUGAAUGAGACGGAACCUGAGUGUUCCAAUGCAGUGCGGAAGCUCUUAUUCUCGGUUGGGCUGAAGGAUACACCACCGGCGGGGAAGCUCAGUAAAUACCUCCCAUCACUGCAAAUACAGUUUGAGGAAAUCAUCAAUUACUAGAAGGUAUGAAGCUCGCCAUUUACCCUCCAAUUUUUUUUUUUGAAAAGGCUUAAGAUGGUUUAGCUAAAGUGUUAAAAGUGGGAAAAUGCCCUAAUUGGGCAUGCAUUAGGGAAAAUGCCCUAAUUCUUCAAUCUGUUUUGUUCCUUAAUACGAAAACAUAUUUAUGAGUUUGAAAAUGGGAGAGAACUCAGAGUAAUGAGGUUGAAAAUUUGCUAUAAAACUCAAAUAGCAGCUAGUAUAUUUAUGUAUGAUAAAUACACUAUAUAUAUAAGUUAGUUACAGUAUGCAAUUCUGUAUUUUCUCAAGCAGAUCAACAAAUUCAAGAUCACCCGCGAGCCCAUUCUUGAUUCGCCAU
rnacentral:lncRNA from 1 species